rnacentral:rRNA from 23 species
GUCUUCCAGAAUUCAAUAAUUGGAAGUCCGACCUGCCCAGUGAAUUGUUCAACGGCCGCGGUAGCCUGACCGUGCUAAGGUAGCGCAAUCACUUGCCUUUUAAUUGGAGGCUAGUAUGAAUGGUCAGACAAAAGUCUAACUGUCUUAGAAACAAACCAAAACUUGUCCUUUAGGUGAAGAGGCCUAAAUAAAAAUAAAAGACGAGAAGACCCUAUCGAGCUUUAACUUCAUUUAUCAUAAUUAAAUAAUAUAACUUUUUGUUGGGGCAACAAAGGAGAAAAAGAAACCUCCUUUAAAAUUUCAGGUUAUAGACUUAAACUCGAAAACAAUUAUAAUUUACUUAUAAAAAUAAUAAAUCUCUUUAUUAUUUCUUAAAUUUAACCAAAAACAAUAGCUACCGUAGGGAUAACAGACUAAUUUCCCUUAAGAGUUCUCAUCAACAGGGAAGCUUGGCACCUCGAUGUUGGCUUAGGAAACCAGUUAAGAAGCAGCAUUCUAACUUCGUAGGCUUGUUCAGCCUUUAAUUUUCCU